rnacentral:rRNA from 1 species
GGCCCCGCACAAGCGGUGGAGCAUGUGGUUUAAUUCGAUGCAACGCGAAGAACCUUACCAAGGCUUGACAUACUACAGAUUUCUUUGAAAAAAUGGAAAGUGCCUUCGGGAAUGUAGAUACAGGUGGUGCAUGGCUGUCGUCAGCUCGUGUCGUGAGAUGUUGGGUUAAGUCCCGCAACGAGCGCAACCCUUAUUUUUAGUUGCUAAUUUAGUUUAGUUUUCUAGAAAGACUGCCGGUGACAAACCGGAGGAAGGUGAGGAUGACGUCAAGUCGAGCAUGCCCCUUAUGCCUUGGCUACACACGUGCUACAAUGGUUAAGACAAAGAGUUGCGAGCUCGUGAGAGUCAGCUAA